UUCACGCACCCCUCACGUGGGCCUGAGACUUCACAGUGCUGGGGCUGCUGGCCUGGCGUGCAUCCCAGAACACACCAGCUCGCACCGUCCAAAGGCCAGGGCCCAGGCGAGCUGCGGGUGCAGGGAACAACUCCUGGCCCAGGGGGCUCUGCAUCUCGAGGGACAGCAUCCGAGUCUCCAGGCCAAAUGGCUGUGAAUUCACACCUAUUUCCACUUAAAAUGAAUGUCAGGUGAUGAUGGCAGCAGGGGUAGGUGCGCAGAAUUCUCAAGAAUCUCAAGUGAGGUCAAGAGAGACUGACACCACUUACUCUCAAGUGUGCCUGAGGCUGUUCCUGGUCAACCCUGCAGGUGCAGGACCCAGGUGACCCAGGACAGUGGCAGGAGCAGAGCAGCUUGCCUCGUCUGGCAGAAAUAAUGUGGGCUGUGGAGCCAGUGGCCCUGGAUUCAGAUCCUUCCCGACCGAUACUCGGGUGGGAGUCUGGGGCCCGUUUUCAUGGGGAUUUCUUUUUUCACUGGCAGGUCUACAGCCUUCGAACCCCCCGAGCCUGGGCCCUGUUGGCAGCCCAGGUGCUGGGCCAACCCGCUGGGCCAACCCACUGUUCCCAUGACGGGGCAAGGCUGCACCUCUCCUUCAGCUGGGAUACCUGCCCCUAGGCAGCCACGGCCUCCAGAACGCCAGCCACGGGAGCGCGGCUGCUCCGGACCGCACAGGCCGCCGGGAAGGACUGGGGAAGGUGGCCUGAGGACAGCCUCAGCGGACCUCGUACCAGCCAGAGCUCCACGAUUAUGGGCCACAUAUGCAGAUCAGUACAUCCGGUAAUGACAUCACAAGCCGUGUGUCCUUACCUGCCACUGCCAAUGGAUGGGAACGCGAUGGACUUGAGCUUCUUAUCGUCGGCCAGGGCCAAGCAGUUCUUCACCGUCUUUUCCAGAAGUUCCUCACACUUGUCUGCACCCCAGACCGGACUGUUACAGUGGAUCACAAACUUGGCAGGCAGGCCGUGGCCCGCGCUGACAGCAGCUGGAGGGGAUGAGACAGAAACAGUGAGUUCCGUCCCUCUGCAGGGCACACGGCACCAGAUGCCCAACACAGACGCCUCCGGGGGACUGCUCCCCAGCUAGUCUUCUUCGGGGAGACACUGGGCCAAGGCCCACCCUUGGGAAGCUGGCAUUAGGAUGCAUCACCACCAGGAAUGUUAGCCGAGAGGACAGCGAGCUCUCUCUGUCCCCUCCCAGAGGCAGAGCCUGAACCACCUCACUUGACCGAGUAUGUCACAAUGUUGGCAGCCUCAGGUUUGCCUUUUGGGGGCUCCAAGCCCCAUUCCUCCAGUGGACUCAAGUACAGAUAAUGAGGACAUAUCUUUAAGUCCCCCCACCCCGGGCACAGUUCAGAAUAAACCUAUCAGGAAAGCAGCUCCGUUUCCUGAACCGCUAAGCAACAUGACUGAUAGAGUUCCGGUGCCCUUCUCCCCCGGAUCCCCCUUGGUGUGGACAGAAUUAAACUGUUCUUUCACGACACUACUGGUCUCUGGUCCUGGAAGAGCUGCUUUGUCUAACUCUCCAUGUCCACCCCACAGCCAGCUUUCGCCCUCAGGCUCUGCCCCUCAUUAGCUCCAAAGAGCCUGGCCUCCAAUGUGCUGCCCCCGGCAAGGGUGACACGUCAGUGCGGGGUCUCCCAGAGCAGGUUCCAUGACCCCUGUCCCCCAGGAUGCACUGCGGAGCGGGUGGUUGUGGGUCCACGGGUGUGGUGAGCGCUGCCUGCUCUGUUUCUGCACAAGAGCCCGAGGUCUCUACACCACCGCUGUCGUUUGACUGUGUGCUGAGCCUGUCUGCUGAGGGACAACCGUCCUCAGGGGUAGGGCUGUCAAGGUUGUGACGCCAAUGGGGAUGGGGAGAGCGUGAUUGGUGGGCGGUUUCUCACGGGGCGGUAGCAACAGCUCUGAGCCAAGACAAGGGUCUGAGUUGGAGUCCCGGCUCUGCUCCCUGACUGGAGAACUCUGGGAUGAAGUGCUGACCUCUGGCAACGGGAGACCGGGGGGUUUGCGCACUGGUCUGUCCGUGGGAGAAGUCACGGCCGAACGACACAUGGGAAAAGACUGGAAGGAAACAUCCUAACAGGGAUCAUCUUCGGGACAGUGGAGCAGGGCUGUGUUUUAUACAACCUUUCUAUGUUUAGAAGUAUUUUAAAAUAUCUUGUAAAACAGAUGCUGAUAUCAAGAACAAAAUGAGUUAAUAAAACAGGCAAGUGUGUCUUCAGCCAUGCUAAAUGUGAUGGGUUUGCCUCAGCUGAGGCUCAGGUGUCACCAGCUGAUUUGGGUGCUGUGGCAGCACCAGGACUCUCGUCACAGCUCCAUCCGAGGGUCACCGAGGGUCUGGGCUGGCACAGAGAGGGGCCAGGAAGGGAUUGAGAAGAGGCCAGGAGCCCCUGGGUGGUUAAUUAAUAAUGCAGGGUCCUCCCUCGUUCCAUAUGGGACUUCGGUGGCAAUACCCAGAAGGGCUUGGAAACGCCCUCUACCCUGAGACCAUACCCCUCUGACCACCUCACAUUUCAAAAUCCAGGCCAGCAGCGGAAGAAGGACCUGCCUCUAGCUCUUAGCCAUCUUUCUCCCUACAUCAGAUUCCAAGUCAUUUUCUUAUCCCCUGGUAUCAGGAAAGGUGUGACUGGCAAACGAAGAAUGUCUACUUCGAUUUCUCCCAUUAAAAACACAGAUGGCUGAAUGAAAAGGAUUCAUUUGCAUGUUUCCCCAGCACUUCCGCAGAUGGCUCAGUAUCACUAUCGACAAGUCUCGACUCUUAGCUUUGCCAAACUCCUGGCUGCUGUAAUUCCUUAAAAUGAGAGGUCUAGACACCAAACAUUCAAGAGCUCUUUUGAGCAAUAAAGAAAGUGGAAGGGCAGUUUGCACAACCCUUAAGCUCCCCCUGACAAUCUGCAUGUGGUAAGUCCACGUCGUAAAGCGGACAGGCUUCCCUGUGGCUCUAGCUCGGACACAGGUGUGCGUGGCCAUGUACCUCUCAACUCCCAAGAUGCCUCACGACCCGGUUCUCCUGAUGCCGCACGAGGCACGCCCUUCCCCAGCUUACCUCCAGCGACUUCCAAGGGCCCGUUCUUUUUUCGGAGCUCCAGAACAGCUUCCACAAACUCCUUGCCACCUUUCUUCUCCAGCGUGUUUCCUAGACAAGGACAGGGUGAGGUCAGACGGCCACUCUUGCGUCUCGGGGCACAGACAGACACUUAGCAUGUCAGGUGAUUACAGACUUCCAAUGAUCUGACCAGCUAAAUUUCCAUACGGCUGCAAAACACGAACUAAGCCUUGGUUAAGUCAUCUAAGUGACAUUUAGAAAGGAUCCAGCUGGCCAAUUGCCACCGAGCAGUCUUUGCUGUCUCACAUUUGGGGGUGACUCGGAGUAACCCGAGAUAGGCCAGAGAUGUGAGGGACAUGGGACACACCUGUUGCUUGCAAGCAUGCCUGGCCUGCAUGCUUCUCAUUGCUGUGAGAAACCAGUGGUGUUGGCUUCAGAGGCUUAGGCCUCCCCUAGACUUCCUUCUCUGUCUCCGGAGAGAACCCUGAGUACGGAGGCUGUAGGGGAAGCAUACCGUGCUCCCAUUAGGGAGCCAGGUCUGCUCUUGGCAGCAGGCCCAGAAGAAGCAUACAAAUUUGGCCACCUCUGGACCAGCAUUAUUACCAUGCUUCGUUCCUAUUUUGCAGCUUUGGCGUCAUAUUGAAUACAAAAAAAAAAAAAAGGCCUCAGACAGUAUUUCCUUCAUCACACUAAUGACUCAGAAUCACUUUAGGUAAAGGAAGGCAACAUCAGAAGCAGAGCUUAAAGGCGAGCUUGUACAGCACGAAAGGAAGGUGACCGCCUGUUCGGGGCCCGAUUUUCAAGAUUAAAUCCAGUGGAGGUAGGCAGCCCCUUUUCUCGAGGUAGGGGUCCUGCUGAGUGGUCAGUUCCUGCUGUGAAAGCCGACUGCCCACACGAGAUGACCAACCUCCACGUCACGUGCUGCUUACAGGCCCCGCGUGGCACAGCCAACCGCGUUCAAAACCAGUGACGUCCUCACCCUCUCAGGUUUGGCCAAAAUGGGGUCUCAGUCUUCCUUAAGCUCUGAUUCAUCAGUUUUGCACAUUUUAAAGUACUUUUCCUCACAAGAGGAUAAAAUACUCCCCUUAAGAUUCACCGUUUAUCUUGGAAAAUUCUAAGCUGCACUUGGCACAUUGCGGUAUGUGUCAGGGCGCAUCGGAGUGCACCGGCCCAGAUUCUCUUUGGGUUAUUCACGCUUUCGUGACUAGGUCCAUUUAUCGUAGAGGAACCUGGCAGACUGGCUCUGGAGGAGCGAACUAACCCCAGGAAGUAUCGGGAGGGAAGCACACACAGCCUGGGCACAGUCACCCAUCAGCACCAGGGUGAACGGCAGGCACUGACUGGCAGCAAGUCUGGGGUGUGUGAAUGCACAUGACCAGCAGGCCGUCACCCAUGGGGAGCCCUCAGAUGUCUGGGAGGAGGCCCGGCUUUUUGGGGAGAGAUUACCGUGGGAUGCUUUGGGAGGGAGCCAGCAUCCCUCAUUAGCCGAGACUCUCUACCCUCACGCCUUCGCCUGUCUUGGAAAGCAGUCACGGACGCUUUAAAUGGCACAGGAAUCAGGAGGGAAAAAUACGUCCACUCCAGAGACUUCUAAGCACUGUGGCAUCUGCUGCACAUUCCUGACAAAGACCAGCAUCACAGAGGGUGGCUGAAUGGGCGUGAGGGAGCAGGGUCGGGCCCCAUGGCCACCUCCAUGCUGCAGGAAGUGCAGACUUGAAGGAUACGACCCAGGCGAGUGAGGCCCAAUUACGGGUUCACUCGGAAGAUCAUGCAACUGAGAAAAAUGAACCUUUAAGUCUGAAUCUGCUGGGUCCCAAACACUGCUACCCACCACACCUGGCCUUCCCUGCUGACCGGUUCUCAAGCUCAAGGGAGGGAAACAAGUCUGCUCUACGAGGAGCUAUGUUAGGUCUGCAUUCUCUACCAGACAUGCUCUUUGGGGGCAAACUGAGAAAUUUGGAAGGCAAAAUAAAAUCAGUACUGUAUUAAUACUGCCAACUCCUUUCUAAAGCAUACGGUAUUAAGAAAAUGGGCUGAUGUAGCAUUAAAGGUGUUUCAUCUUA